GAUGAACGCUGGCGGUGGGCCUAACACAUGCAAGUCGAGCGAACGGACGAUAAGCUUGCUCUUUUGAUGUUAGCGGCUGACGGGCGAGUAACACGUGGAUAACCUACCUAUAUUACUGGGAUAACUUCGGGAAACCGCAUCUAAUACCGGAUAAUAUGUUGAACCGCAUGGUUCAAAAGUGAAAGACGGUCUUCCUGUCACUUAUAGAUGGAUCCGCGCUGCAUUAGCUAGUUGGUAAGGUAACGGCCUACCAAGGCAACGAUGCGUAGCCGACCUGAGAGGGUGAUCAGCCACACUGGAACUGAGACACGGUCCAGACUCCUACGGGAGGCAGCAGUAGGGAAUAUUCCGCAAUGGGCGCAAGCCUGACGGAGCAACACCGCGUGAGUGAUGAAGGUCUUCGGAUCGUAAAGCUCUGUUAUUAGGAAAGAACAGCUGUGUAAGUAAAUGUGCCCGUCUUGACGGUACCUAAUCAGAAAGCAACGGCUAACUACGUG
rnacentral:rRNA from 1 species